CCUACGGGCGGCAGCAGUGGGGAAUAUUGCACAAUGGGGGAAACCCUGAUGCAGCGACGCCGCGUGAGCGAUGAAGUAUUUCGGUAUGUAAAGCUCUAUCAGCAGGGAAGAAAAUGACGGUACCUGACUAGAAGGCCCGGCCAAAUACGUUCCAGCAGCCGGGGUAAUUCGUAGGGGGCAAGGGUUAUCCGGAUUUACCGGGUGGAAAGGGGGCGUAGAAGGUCCUGCAAGCCAGAUGUGAAAGCCCGGGGCUCAACCCCGGGACUGCAUUUGGAACUGUAAGGCUAGAGUGUCGGAGAGGCAGGCGGAAUUCCUAGUGUAGCGGUGAAAUGCGUAGAUAUUAGGAGGAACACCAGUGGCGAAGGCGGCCUGCUGGACGAUGACUGACGUUGAGGCUCGAAAGCGUGGGGAGCAAACAGGAUUAGAUACCCGGGUAGUC
rnacentral:rRNA from 1 species